CUAUGUAUAUUGUCUUUAGGUUGCAUGUUUGAGACGGCCUCUUUUGUUGUUAGCAACAUUGUUACCGAUUUUAAAUCAUUUUUGGAAUCGGUUCUUGUCUCGUGACGUUUCUGGCGCAAUGCAUUGUGGGUUUUCGUGUAUUGCAGAACAACAACAAGCCCGCGACGUGAUCCUUUGCUAGGCGUCCGUUAUGCGUGGUAAUCGUUGAAAAUGGUACACUCGUGUUGUGUGAAAGACUGCCAUUCUAGGUCCCAUGAUAGAAACGAAUGCAAAAAGGAUGGGAUAGUUUUUUUUUUUUUUUAGCAUUCCCGCCUGGAAGAGAAGAUAUGGAACUCAGAUGAGUUGAAUAAGAGGCUUCGAAUGGUUACAGCGGUGAGAAGAAAGGCCAUCACUUUUUAUUCAUCAACUGAAAACAUGUCGGUCUGUACCCUACAUUUCCAUAAAGGAAAACCAGCAUAUGAAAUAAAUGAGGCAGACCCUGACUGGGCACCAUCCUUACGCCUGGGACACACAUGUGUUCAGCCCACCAACGUGGACCGCUCUUCUAGGCGAAGUAGGCGUGAGAAAUUGAGGAUGGAGGAAGACGUUGGUGAGCUACAGGAGGAGCUGUCAGUGCCCUUUAGAUGCUCCUUCUGACCUUCAUGCGCCUGCGUUUGGACCUGCCUACACUACACAUUGCACACAUAUUCCAUGUUUCCCGUAAGACUGUGUAUUGAGUGUUCAGUGGCAUGGUGCCCUUUUUACAUGCUAACUUGAGACGAGCAAUUGUUUGGCCCAACAGAGAAACACUCUAUAAAACAAUGCCUCACGAGUUUGUUGAGUCCUUCAGACGCAGAGUUGCAGUGAUUAUUGAGUUGUUGUUUUUUUUUUACAGAGAAGCCAUCAAAUCUUAAGGCGCGUGCGCAAAUGUUUUCUAGUUACAAGCAUAACUACACCAUGAAAUACCUAACUGGAAUCACACCAAAGGGGGGAAUUUGUUUGAUGUCAAAAGGUUGGGGUGGUCACACAAGGGACAAACAUAUCACCUUGAACAGUGCUUUUUUUAAUAACCUUUUGCCCCGGGACAUUGUCUUGACUGACAGAGGCUUUGAUAUUCAAGAACAUGUGGGUAUGUUAUGUACAGAGGUCAAACUCCCUGCGUUCACAAAAGGUCGCUGUCAGUUAGCUGGUAGAGAUGUGGAGGAGACUAGGAAGAUAGCACAUUUGAGGAUCCAUGUUGAACGGGUAAUUGGUCAUCUUUGCCAGAAGUAUAAGAUCCAACAGGAACUAUACCUAUUAACUUGGUUCUGCCAUGUGACGGCGAAGAUUGCACAUUGUUGGAUAAGAUUGUUUAUGUAUGCGGUGCCCUUACAAACCUUUGCCCAACUGUUGUGUAGUUUGUACUGUGAUACCAUUUACUAUGCUAACCGUUUCAGCCUUUCAAACUUGGCUGUUAUUGAUUGUAUUUAAUAAAACAUAUUAAGUCA